UUUUUGACAGCUUUAUUUGUAAUAGUAAAAUACUGAGAACAAUGUAAAUGUCCAUGAACAGCUUACAUUGGUAAUACUUUAAACAGUGUCCAUCUAGGUGUGGAGGCAAUACAGAAAACUGGAUGAACACAAGGAAACCAUGGAAUUGCUGCAACGUGAUAUGAAGGAAGACAGUCCAAAUUCUCAGUAUCCAACCUGUGAGAUACACUGGAGCUGAUAGGUGCUCUCACAAACAAACCUGACAGCAGCAGGCCUCCAGAGACUGCAGAAGAAGGUGAGCACUGGACUGGCUUCUUAGUAU